GUUUUAAUAGUUUAACAAAACAUCAGUCUUGUAAACUGGAAAUAAAAAUUAUUUUUUUAAAACU